rnacentral:rRNA from 1 species
GACGAACGCUGGCGGCGUGCUUAACACAUGCAAGUCGUACGGUAAGGCCCUUUCGGGGGUCCAUGAGUGGCGAACGGGGGAGUAAGACGUGGGUAACCUGCCCACCAAUUUGGGAUAACGCUAGGAAACUGGUGCUAAUACUGGAUAUGUGCUCCUGCCGCAUGGUGGGGGUUGGAAAGCUCCGGCGGUUGUGGAUGGACUAGCGGCCUAUCAGCUUGUUGGUGGGGUAGUGGGCUACCAAGGCGGCGACGGGUAGCCGGCCUGAGAGGGUGACCGGCCACACUGGGACUGAGGGACGGCCCCGGCUCCUACGGGAGGCAGCAGUGGGGAAUAUUGCACAAUGGGCGCAAGCCGGAUGCAGCAGCGCCGCGGGCUGGAGGACGGCCUUCGGGUUGUAAACCGGUUUCAGCAGGGACGAAGCUUUUUGUGACGGUACCUGCAGAAGAAGCACCGGCUAACUACGUG